CCUACGGGAGGCAGCAGUGGGGAAUAUUGCACAAUGGGGGAAACCCUGAUGCAGCGACGCCGCGUGAAGGAAGAAGUAUUUCGGUAUGUUAACUUCUAUCAGCAGGGAAGAAAAUGACGGUACCUGAAUAAGAAGCCCAGGCUAACUACGUGCCAGCAGCCGCGGUAAUACGGAGGGGGCAAGCGUUAUCCGGAUUUACUGGGUGUAAAGGGAGCGUAGGCGGUUUGGCAAGUCAGAAGUGAAAGCCCGGGGCUCAAUUCCGGAACUGUUUUUGAAACUGUUGAACUAGCUUGCAGGUGAGGUAAGUGGAAUUCCUGGUGUAGCGGUGAAAUGCGUAGAUAUUAGGAGGAACACCAGUGGCGAAGGCGGCUUACUGAACUGUAAAUGACGCUGAGGCUCGAAAGCGUGGGGAGCAAACAGGAUUAGAUACCCCAGUAGUC
rnacentral:rRNA from 1 species